UACGUAGGGGGCAAGCGUUGUCCGGAAUCAUUGGGCGUAAAGAGCGUGUAGGCGGCCCGGUAAGUCCGCUGUGAAAGUCAGGGGCUCAACCCUUGAAAGCCGGCCGAUACUGUCGGACUAGAGUCCGGAAGAGGCGAGUGGAAUUCCCGGUGAGCGGUGAAAUGCGCAGAUAUCGGGAGGAAUACCGGUGGCGAAAGCGACUCUCGUGGACGGCAACUGACGCUGAGGC
rnacentral:rRNA from 1 species